AUGGGCUGGUCAGAGCCCGUGAAGGAGUCAGUCCCAGGAAGGACACAGCAUGAACAUGAGGCCCCCACACAGCUUCUGGUGUUCCUGCUGCUCUGGCUUCCAGGUGCCAGUUGUGAUAUCCGGAUGAUCCAGUCUCCAUCCUACCUGUCUGCAUCUCUAGGAGACAGUGUCACCAUUACUUGCCAGGCAAGUCAGAUCAUUAGCAGUUGGUUAGCCUGGAAUCAGCAGAAACCAGGGAAACCCACUAAGCUUGUGAUCUAUAAGGCUUCCAGUUUACAGUCUGGGGUCCCAUGAGGGUUUAGUGGAAGUGGAUCUGGGACAGGCUUCACUCUCACUGUCAGCAGUCUGCAGCCUGAAGAUGUUGCAACUUAUUACUGUCUACAGUAUGACAGUAUAUUCCUCCCACAGUGCUACAAGUUAUAA